GACGAACGCUGGCGGCGUGCUUAGCACAUGCAAGUCGAACGGAAAGGCCCUGCUUUUGUGGGGUGCUCGAGUGGCGAACGGGUGAGUAACACGUGAGUAACCUGCCCUUGACUUUGGGAUAACUUCAGGAAACUGGGGCUAAUACCGGAUAGGAGCUCCUGCUGCAUGGUGGGGGUUGGAAAGUUUCGGCGGUUGGGGAUGGACUCGCGGCUUAUCAGCUUGUUGGUGGGGUAGUGGCUUACCAAGGCUUUGACGGGUAGCCGGCCUGAGAGGGUGACCGGCCACAUUGGGACUGAGAUACGGCCCAGACUGCUACGGGAGGCAGCAGUGGGGAAUAUUGCACAAUGGGCGGAAGCCUGAUGCAGCAACGCCGCGUGCGGGAUGACGGCCUUCGGGUUGUAAACCGCUUUCGCCUGUGACGAAGCGUGAGUGACGGUAAUGGGUAAAGAAGCACCGGCUAACUACGUG
rnacentral:rRNA from 1 species